rnacentral:rRNA from 1 species
CUGCAGGAAGGAUCAUUGU